UAUUCAUUAACAGCCCGGAUUACAGGCAUCCACAACUGCAUUAUAUAUUGUCUGUAUAAUGUAGUUGUGGAUGCCUGUAAUCUGGGCUCAUAU